rnacentral:rRNA from 1 species
GAUGAACGCUGGCGGCGUGCUUAACACAUGCAAGUCGAACGAUGAAGCCCAGCUUGCUGGGUGGAUUAGUGGCGAACGGGUGAGUAACACGUGAGUAACCUGCCCUUAACUCUGGGAUAAGCCUGGGAAACUAGGUCUAAUACCGGAUAGGAGCGCCUACCGCAUGGUGGGUGUUGGAAAGAUUUAUCGGUUUUGGAUGGACUCGCGGCCUAUCAGCUUGUUGGUGAGGUAAUGGCUCACCAAGGCGACGACGGGUAGCCGGCCUGAGAGGGUGACCGGCCACACUGGGACUGAGACACGGCCCAGACUCCUACGGGAGGCAGCAGUGGGGAAUAUUGCACAAUGGGCGCAAGCCUGAUGCAGCGACGCCGCGUGAGGGAUGACGGCCUUCGGGUUGUAAACCUCUUUCAGUAGGGAAGAAGCGAAAGUGCCGGUACCUGCAGAAGAAGCACCGGCUAACUACGUGCCAGCCGCCGCAGUAAUAC